GAUGAACGCUGGCGGCGUGCCUAAUACAUGCAAGUCGAGCGAACAGACGAGGAGCUUGCUCCUUUGACGUUAGCGGCGGACGGGUGAGUAACACGUAGGUAACCUCCCUAUAAGACUGGGAUAACUUCGGGAAACCGGAGAUAAUACCGGAUAAUAUUUCGAACCGCAUGGUUCGAUAGUGAAAGAUGGCUUUGCUCUCACUUAUAGAUGGACCUGCGUUUUAUUAGCUAGUUGGGAAGGUAACGGCUUACCAAGGCAACCAUACGUAGCCGACCUGGGAGGGGGAUCGGCCACACUGGAACUGAGACACGGUCCAGACUCCUACGGGAGGCAGCAGUAGGGAAUCUUCCGCAAUGGGCGAAAUCCUGACGGAGCAACGCCGCGUGAGUGAGGAAGGUCUUCGGAUCUUAAAACUUGUUUAUUAGGGAAGAACAGACGGGUAAGUAACUGUGCACGUCUUGACGGUACCUAAUCAGAAAGCCACGGCUAACUACGUG
rnacentral:rRNA from 1 species